CUUGUAUUUGAAAUAAAUAAAGGAAAAAACGCACAAAAAGUUAAAAAAAAUUAACCAUCAUUUAUCAUUACUUAUUAGAGGAGGAUAGCAAUGGUCACGUGUGUGGGGGUGUACUCCCCCAGAAAAUUUUUGAAAUUUGAAGCAUGUAAAUGCCAUUUCCUGCAUUCUAAGCAUCCAAAUUUCCUCUAAAAUUUAUGCUAACUAUACUUGUAUUUGAAAUAAAAGAAGGGAAAAUGCACAAAAAGUAAAAAAAAUAUUAACCGUAAUUUAUCAUUAAGUAUUAGAGGACUAAUCCCCCGAAAAGUUUUGAAAUUUGAAACCCGGAAAUGCUAUUUCCUGCAUUCUGUGCAUCCAAAAUAUAAAAAAUUUAUUAACAGUAAUUUAUCAUUACUUAGUGGUAGAAAAACGUAACAAUUUAAAUCGAUUUUGUUAAACAAGGACAAAGGAUAAAGCCUAAAAGUUACUUUCCGUUUAUCUAUUUGUUAAUCUUAGCUGGUUUGUUAACGUUUGUAUAAUUUUAGGAAAAAGGAACUUUUCCUGGGGGGGGCACAAGGGGGGACUGGGGGGGCAUUUGUCCCCCCCCCCAGCUUGUAUGUUAAAAAAGGCCCUGGCAUUAGUCCCAAAAGUUUCGCACUUGUUACUUUUCUGAUUGGCUGACCGUCAAUCAGUACCGUUGAAUAAAUUUCUUGUUUAUUUUGUCUUCUCUAGUUGAUGACAAGUUCUUUUGUUUUGUUACAGUUCAACUGGAAAAGAUUCUGUUUAUAUAGACCAUUCAUUAACUUCGUUUGCAGCCGACUGAGCACAACUCUGUUCUCCUUUCUGUAUAGUCAGUGGCGGAAAUCUUGGUGGCCGAUCCCUCCCCCACCUUCACGUAAAAUUGACGAAUUUUCGGAAAUUUUGACCUAAAAGAGGGCUAAAAACAGUCUUUUCGAGUGCAAAUGGGGGGGGUAUGUCAGAAAUUUGAAAGUUUUGUCAGAAAUUUAGGAGGUUUUGCCCCCCCCCCGGAAAAAGUGAAUUUCCGCCACUGUCAGUAUAGUUUCCGAAACAGUUGAAUCAUCAACGUACUAAGUAUAAAGAAUGAAUGCUUUCUGUAGUCAAAACUUCACAUAUAAGAGUAAGAACACUCAGAACAGUUCUACUACAUAAAUAAAGUUAACAAACUGAAAAGACAAGUCAACAAAAUACUAGGGCUAUUGCAGUAAUGUUAAAGUAAAUCAAAUGAACCAUCUUGCUAAUUCAAAUUUUUCCGAUAGUUUCAGUCCUCCCUGCAGACCCGCCAAAAUGGGGAGGGAUUUUGCCCCCGGCCCACAAAUUUCUUGACACAGAUUGCUAAUAUGCAGUGAAGCGCACUGUAUUGUAAAACACUGCUUGUAUAAAUUAUAUGAAUUAAGAUAAAAAUUAAUGAAUUAAAGAUAGUUGAAUAUUAUGUGGUUCAGUGGCUUUAAAGUUUGUGUUAUUUACAGUCG